GCAAACUGCUCUGUUGAAACAAUUAAGCAGCUGUGAUGAGGAGGGGCAGCAAUACACAGCAGCUGCCCGGAUUUCCAAGGAGGUUACAGAGAGUUCACGGACUUAGAACCACUCUAGCUCACCUGGCUCCACGUGGCGACUCAAGGCUCUGCACCCUUCCGGCCGCUAAGACAAGGCCUCAGACACGGGGUUCUGCCCUGUCUACUGUCAGCAGAGCCAAGCUGAGAAGGAUGGGCACGAGAAAAGGUUGCUAACUUUGGAGGAAGCCAGCUGCCAUGUCACAAAAAGAUUCAGGAAGCCAUGUGGAGAGGCCCACAUCAUGAGGAACUGAGGUCUUUGCCAAUUACCAGCAAGGAAAUGAGGCCUCCUGCCAACAGCCACGUGAGUAUCCUACCUUGGAAAUGGACCCUCUAACUUCAAUCAGCCUUCAAAUAACUGCAGCCCCAGUUGAUGGCUUGACUGCAACCUUAGGAGAAACCCUGAGCCAAAAACAUUGAGGAAAAACACCCCCAGAUUCCUAUCAGAAAUUGUGUAAGAUAAUAAAUGUUUGUUGUUUUAAGCUGCUAAGUUUUAGGGUGAUUUGUUAUACAGAAGUAGAUAACUAAUACAGAGACAGAAGAAUUACUUUUGGGAGGGUUUGAUCAUUCUGGGCCUGCAAGAAGCCUAAACUGCUUCCUACCCCUUUGUACUGAUGAGAGCUGAGGCACAUGGUCACACCUAAGAAGCUAACUGCAAGAGCACCUGGGAAAUACAGUCUAGCCAAGUGCCCAGGAGGAAGGAAACACUUUGAUAAAUAGCUGGCCAGUCUUGGCCACAUUCAGUGAGUUUAUAUUUGGGAAUGUUUGGACCACAAGAAUCUGGUGACUAUUUAUUCCAAUUCAGACAAGAUUCUUAGAGGAAAUAGGUAAAGUCUUUGACAUAGUCUCUUUUCGAGAAUGAUGCCAAAAAUGGCUGGAGUUUGUCUAUGUCUUUGGUUUGUCUAAUUUAGUAGUGCUGUCAUAACAACAGCAGCAGCAGCACCGCUACUGACAACUAACAUUCAUUGAACACCCAGGCAUUGU
rnacentral:lncRNA from 1 species